rnacentral:lncRNA from 1 species
GCGGGGGAGCUGGAAGGCUAGAUAUGGGACAGCUGAGGGAAUCCUGCUCCUCUGCCUUUGCAUUACUGAAAGGAAAAGUGGGACGGGACGGGACGCAGGGAGAAGGAAAGCAGCCUCCCUAGGACAGACCUCGAGGACCCUGAGGCUGUAGCUGGUCGGGGGAAGCAAAAGGAGGCUGGUGCUUCACCUUACAAGAAGAAGGGUGCACGAAGCAGCAUUCCCGGCAAGAAGAGGAUUCCCACGGCAUCGGUUACACGCGCGCACACACACGCACACAUACACGCCAGCGCAGAGGGAAUAGUUUUGGGUGGUGGGUGUUUUCUUCUUCUUCGUUGUUCGGAAGCAAUCUAACCAGGAGAAGAACACUGAGCCCUUUUCCUUCC